UGGGGAAUUUUGGACAAUGGGGGCAACCCUGAUCCAGCAAUGCCGCGUGUGUGAAGAAGGCCUUCGGGUUGUAAAGCACUUUUGUCCGGAAAGAAAACGUCGUGGUUAAUACCCGUGGCGGCUGACGGUACCGGAAGAAUAAGCACCGGCUAACUACGUGCCAGCAGCCGCGGUAAUACGUAGGGUGCAAGCGUUAAUCGGAAUUACUGGGCGUAAAGCGUGCGCAGGCGGUCCGGCUAAGACAGAUGUGAAAUCCCCGGGCUUAACCUGGGAACUGCAUUUGUGACUGGCGGGCUAGAGUAUGGCAGAGGGGGGUAGAAUUUCCACGUGUAGCAGUGAAAUGCGUAGAGAUGUGGAGGAAUACCGAUGGCGAAGGCCAGCCCCCUGGGCCAAUACUGACGCUCAUGCACGAAAGCGUGGGGGAGCAAACAGGAUUAGAUACCCU
rnacentral:rRNA from 1 species